UAAUAAGUGUUUUAUGGCACUUUUUAAAUCCAUAUCCACCUUGUGUGCAAUGUCAGUCGGUUUUCUUUUUUCGUCAAGAAAAAAAGGAUCGACCAAACAUCAACUUAUUCUAAUUGAACUUUUGUCUGAAAACUAUUUUUGAAUUGUUUUAUUCAUAAUAUUUUUCAGACAAAGAGUUAAAAGAUAAAGGUUGAUGUUUUGGUCGAUCUCCAUGAAGAAGAUCGACUGACAUUGCACACAAGGUGGAUAUGGUAUUUAAAGAGUGCCAGUAAAACACGUAGUAAUGAAGGAUCCUUUCCGUAGGUGAACCUGCGGAAGGAUCAUUCAUAAUAAGUGUUUUAUGGCACUCUUUUAAAUCCAUAUCCACCUUGUGUGCAAUGUCAGUCGGUAUUCUUUCGUCAAAAAUGGAGAUCGACCAAACAUCAACCUUUAUUCUAAUUGAACUCUUUGUCUGAAAAACUAUUAUGAAUAAACUAAUUCAAAAUA
rnacentral:misc_RNA from 1 species